UUAUUAUUAUUAUUAUUAUUAUUAUUAUUAUUAUUAUAUUAGUAUAGCAUUCAUUAUCAAUAACUGAAUAAUUUAUUGUAAAUAUGUAAUUUAUUCAGCAGAUUUUUAAAGUCAUGUGUUUUAUUGGUUAUUUUUGAUAACACCAAAUUUGUCUUGUCUUUUUCUAAUCUGAAAAAUUAUUUUGCAAUACAAUGACAUAAUUUUUCUCAUUACACUUAUUGCUGUGACCUAUUGUAUAGAUCACCACUCUUCUCAUUUCCUCUUCUUACUUCCUCAGAUAAGUAAGGGCUGAAUGCGACUAUGCUGCUUUAUGGUGUCAUUCAUUUCCACUUGAAAUGUGGAGCAGUGCAGGUGCCUCCUAUGAACUACAGCUUGUCUGCAGUGGGUUAGUGAUGAGGGGCUUUGCAAUAACUAUAAUAAAGGAUCACCUUCACUUUUGCCCGCUUCUGUUGCCAAAUGUUGGACAUUUCAAAAGUGUCGAUGGCUGCAGCCUUGUUGCAGGACCUCGUGUUAUAUUUUUGCACCAGGAGGAGCAUAUACGCAUUCAUGACCUGACAGAAAGAAAAGAAGCAAAAUAACUUUUGCAAUUAUAUGGAGGCCUGUCUUACACCUGUCAAUUAAAAACAGCAAUAAAAGGAUCACAAAGGUUUAAAAGGUCUUUUCUCCUUAAGGCUGUAUCGUGCAGUGCAAGGGCAGCCAAAUUUAUCUGCAGAGCUGACUGGAGAGGGAGGAUGGACAGGUGGAGAAGGUGCUGUGGGGCUGACUGGAGAGGGAGGAUGGACAGGUGGAGAAGGUGCUGUGGAGCUGCCUGGAGAGGGAGGAUGGACAGGUGGAGAAGGUGCUGUGGAGCUGCCUGGAGAGGGAGGAUGGACAGGUGGAGAAGGUGCUGUGGAGCUGCCUGGAGAGGGAGGAUGGACAGGUGGAGAAGGUGCUGUGGGGCUGACUGGAGAGGGAGGAUGGACAUGAGAGGGAGAUUUGCAGCUGAUCAGAGUUGAGGGAUUCAGUGUAUAGGUUUUAUUUUCCAUUAAGAUUUUCCGGAGCUUGUGAGGGACUUUGGGGACAUCUUCACAGUGGGGUCUCAAAUGAUCUGUAUUAAUUUUGGGCAUUUUGACACCCCUCUCAUCUUGAAGAUCUGCACUUUUUCCCUCCAGUGCCACAAUAGUGUAAGGACCCAGGUAGUUAGCCUCCAGUUUUCCCCCUUUCCGCUGUUGGCUUCUCACGUUUUGCCUCCAUACUUUGUCCCCCACUACAAAGGGUUUGCUGGAUGGACACAACCUUUUUCUCAUUUUCUUUUGAGAGGCUUUAAUGUUUGCCUCAGCCUCACGCAAACCUUCACUAAUCCUCAACGCACACUCUGUGACUUGCUCCACAGUUACUGUGUCUUCCAUGCUUUCGUGAAUCUAAAAAAAAUUAUAUUUUUUUUAGUUUUUAUAAUAAUAUAUAUUUAUUUAAAGGGUUAGUUCGCCCUGAAUAGAAAAUUUGAUCAGAUAUUAAUAGCAUAAUUUACUUAAAUUGGGAUUAAACCACUGGAGUAACAUGGGUUGUUUUUUAUUGUGUUUAUGGACAAUUUAAAGAAUGUUUCAUGUAAACAGACUUUCAAUUUCAAAUUCUCUCAGCUUUAGUAAAAAUAUAUUUAUUCUGUUUAAACUUAAAUGAGAAUGAGUAAAUAAUGACAGAAUUUCAUUGUGAGUGGAGGUAAACUAACCCUUUAAGUAGUUAACAUUGAAUUUGUUUUGAAUUUUCAGUUACCCUGUAUUGCUCCGGAACCUCACAAGCAUAACGGGCCUCUCUCCCAAACAUUAAAAAAAAAGGUGAGAACUUUGUUGUCAUUUGCUUUUUCGUCCUAAGUCCAAACAUCACCGCAUC
ensembl:lncRNA